UCAUUGUUUUUAUGAUAGAUUAAGAUUGAUCUUGUCUUAGAUAAUUAGCUUUUUGAUAAUAUUAAAUAUAAGUUUUUGCGGGUUAUUAUUUAUCUUAAGGGUAAAUUUUUUUUUAAUUGUAGUUUUUUAUAUUGAAUAUUUUAUAAUUAAAGAUUCAAUUAAUUAAUUUAAAGCUGUCAAAGGUUGUGCCAGCAGACGCGGUUACACAAUUGGUUUAAGUUAAUUUUUUUUGGUUAGUAUUUUUUUUUGUUAUUGGGGUUUAUUUUUUUGUUAUUGAGUGAAAUUUUAAUUUUUUAUAUUUGCUCUUGGUUAAAUAUUAUAUGAAAUUUAGAUUUUAAACUAGGAUUAGAGACCCUAUUAUUCUAAAUGUAAAGUUUUGGCCAUGGUAUUAAUAGUUAUGAUCUUUAAAUUAAAAAGAUUUGGCGGUAACUUAGUCCUUUCAGAGGAACCUGUCCUUUAAUCGAUAAUCCACGUUGGAUUUAACUUUAUUUUUUGAUUUGUAUAUCUCUGUCAUUGAAUGUUUUAUUAGAAUAUCUUCU
rnacentral:rRNA from 1 species